UACGUAGGGGGCAAGCGUUGUCCGGAAUCAUUGGGCGUAAAGCGCGUGUAGGCGGCCAGAAAAGUCCGCUGUGAAAACUCGAGGCUCAACCUCGAGCUGUCGGUGGAAACUUUCUGGCUAGAGUCCGGAAGAGGAGAAUGGAAUUCCUGGUGUAGCGGUGAAAUGCGCAGAUAUCAGGAAGAACACCCGUGGCGAAGGCGGUUCUCUGGGCCUUACCUGACGCUGAGGAGCGAAAGCGUGGGGAGCGAACAGG
rnacentral:rRNA from 1 species